rnacentral:rRNA from 1 species
GACGAACGCUGGCGGCGUGCUUAACACAUGCAAGUCGAACGAUGAAGCUAGAGCUUGCUCUGGUGAAUUAGUGGCGAACGGGUGAGUAACACGUGAGUAACCUGCCCCGAACUCUGGGAUAACUGCUGGAAACGGUAGCUAAUACUGGAUACGACCUACGAAGGCAUCUUCUGUAAGGUGGAAAGAAUUUCGGUUCGGGAUGGACUCGCGGCCUAUCAGCUUGUUGGUGAGGUAAUGGCUCACCAAGGCGACGACGGGUAGCCGGCCUGAGAGGGUGACCGGCCACACUGGGACUGAGACACGGCCCAGACUCCUACGGAGGCAGCAGUGGGGAAUAUUGCACAAUGGGCGCAAGCCUGAUGCAGCAACGCCGCGUGAGGGAUGACGGCCUU